AUCUAUUUUGCCUUUUCAUUUUCUCAGCUAACGUGUCUUCUUCUUACCUUUUCAGUUUCUCAGCUAACGGGUCUUCUUCUGAUAAAAUGAAUAUGCAUGUCUUCCUCCUCCUAUGUCUUCCUCCUAAUGCUUCAUUUAUAAUGAUUCACUAUUUGCACAUGGAAGUUCACUCUCUUCAGCCUUCUCCAGGCACUUAAAGCUUAAGUUUUGGAAAGAAAAGAUUGAUUUAGGUGGGUGAAUAUACCCAGAUUUGAUUUGGGUAUGUGACAAACAACUGUUGUCACUCGUAUCCGUGCAACACAAACUGCUAGGUAAGACAUUCACCGUCCAAAUAAAGAAGUUGUUUGCCAAAAACAAGGAUGCAUCUUCAGCAAAACUGUUUAUCAUGUCAAUCACCGAGAAAGAUAUUGCUAGCAAUCUGCCACUGCCCAUCAACGCACCAACAACUCCAGAAAGCAGUAAACGCAAGCUGAAGCAAAUCAUGAUAAAAGAAGACUAAAAGUGUAAUACUUUUUUGCAAUAUGGUUGGCAACACCAUUUUGUCUUGAUGGCGUACACUUUUGGUGCUGAUAGCAUGGACUUUGCUGCAUAGUUAUAAGAAAUUGACAGGUGCUUUCUGAAUGACGCUGACUAAUAGUCAAAAUACAGCAUUAUGUAAAUAUUGUAGAUAUCCAACCUAAAUAACACAGCCAUGACAACGAACAAAAGAACUGCCAACCAUAUUUCAUAUAUAAAUAUAUAUAUAAAAUAUCUAUCCAUCUCUCUCUCUCUCUAUAUAUAUAUAUAUUCGACUCAUACGUUCUAUAUGUUUAUAUCUAACUA